GCUCGCACGUCUUGGCCUUGUGAUGCCAUUAUUAUUAUGAUGUGGGAGAGAGAUGGAGCUAGAGAGGGUGUGGAGAAAAAUAGAUAAAAAAUGAUCAACUGAAAAAGCCUUCUGCUGGAAGUGGUUGGUGUGACUAUUUGACUCGCAGCAUUCCAUGUGAUGUUGCAUUCCUUUUUCUUGGCGUAAUCCCAUGCAAGGAAGCCCUUUCAUCAUUCCAUGAGC
rnacentral:lncRNA from 1 species